CAAACCUGUAAAAGUUGUCAGUCGCGUCCCAGGCGUUCCGGAGACGUCUCCGCUUCAACGAGAGACGUCUCGGCUACAAGAUUUUACUUUUUACGUUGUCUGGGGUCGACUCGGCACUUUACGGGGACGACUCUGCUUGUUUGCACUUUUUGAAUGGGGACGACUCCGCUGUCUCGGGGUCGACUCCGCUUCUUUAUCUCCGAAAAAUAUGUCCUCUGGAAUUUCCUGAGAGAGCCGACUCCGCUCUUUCAGGGGACGUCUCCGCUGCCUUAUCACCGAAAAAAUCAUUCUCUGGAAAACCCUGAGAGAGCCGUCUCCGCUAUCUUGGGGACGACUCGGGAAGUCUCCUUUUUACUUGUGGGGACGACUCUGCUUGCGGUGGGGACGUCUCGCGCAUAUCUCUUGAAAACUGCCUUUCUGCCGCCACUGAGAGAGUCG
rnacentral:lncRNA from 1 species